rnacentral:rRNA from 1 species
ACGCUGGCGGCACGCCUUACACACGCAAGUCGAACGGCAGCGCGUCCUUCGGGAUGGCGGCGAGUGGCGAACGGGUGAGUAAAGCAUCGGAACGUGCCCGGUAGUGCGGGAUAGCUCGGCGAAAGCCGGAUUAAUACCGCAUGAGAUCCGUGGAUGAAAGCAGGGGACCCCUUGUGGGCCUUGCGCUACUGGAGCGGCCGAUGUCAGAUUAGGUAGUUGGUGGGGUAAAGGCCCACCAAGCCUGCGAUCUGUAGCUGGUCUGAGAGGAUGAUCAGCCACAUCGGGACUGAGACACGGCCCGAACUCCUACGGGAGGCAGCAGUGGGGAAUUUUGGACAAUGGGCGCAAGCCUGAUCCAGCCAUGCCGCGUGCAGGAUGAAGGCCCUCGGGUUGUAAACUGCUUUUGUACGGAACGAAAAGCCUCUUUCUAAUAAAGAGGGGUGAUGACGGUACCGUAAGAAUAAGCACCGGCUAACUACGUGCCAGCAGCCGCGGUAAUACGUAGGGUGCGAGCGUUAAUCGGAAUUACUGGGCGUAAAGCGUGCGCAGGCGGUCUUGCAAGACAGUGGUGAAAUCCCCGGGCUCAACCUGGGAACGGCCAUUGUGACUGCAAGGCUGGAGUACGGCAGAGGGGGGUGGAAUUCCGCGUGUAGCAGUGAAAUGCGUAGAUAUGCGGAGGAACACCGAUGGCGAAGGCAGCCCCCUGGGCCUGUACUA